CUGCCCUCAAGCACGGCUUGUGUGUUGGGCCCUCGUCCCUUUCGGGGGACGGGCCCGAAAGGCAGCGGCGGCACCGGUCCGAUCCUCGAACGUAUGGGGCUUUGUCACUCGUUCUUGUAGGAUUGGCCGGCGCUUGCCGACACCAUCAAUCUUUUUCCA
rnacentral:misc_RNA from 1 species